AGGUCCAGUGGACAAGGAACCUUAAGCCCAUUUCCAACUUGACUUCUUCCCCUUUGCCAUGGAAGGUGAAGUCUCCUGAGCAUUGGUAUGGCCAGAUGGACUGACAACCUUACCUCUUCUGGACCAAUAGUGGUGUGAUCUGGGCAGCCGGGAAUGAACAAGCAGCCUCCGCCUACAUAGUAGUGAUUAUGUCCUGCCUUGUGAAGUCUCCUGAAUAUCAACGUGGCCAGGUGACUUGUUGUUCCUCUUCUGGACCUGUAGUAAAAGGGAUUAUUAUAAUAUCUUUCUUGAUUUAUAGUUUUUUUCCUUCCUGUAUUUGACAUUCUGCUACCUAGGACAGAAACAUUUGGAAUUGUUCUAACCUCAGAAUAGGCUUAUUCCUCAUUAUGAAAUGCUUUAUUUGUUCCUGGCAAUGUUCUUUGCUUGGAGAUGUGUUAUGCUUGCCUAUAGUAUCAGCACUUGAGAGGAAGAGGCAGGAGGAUCAGAAGUUCAGGGUCAUCCCCUCCUAUGCAGUGAAUUCAAGACUAAGCUGGUUACAGGUCUCAAACAAUUAAAAGAUCACCUCACCUUCUUUCAUAUUGUUUCUGAGGAGAAAUAUGCUGUAAUUAUUCUCUUUGUUCUUUUGUUAAAAAGUAUGUCAUUUUAAACUCUGCCUGCAAGAUUGUACUGUUUGUAAUUGAUUUUGAACAAUUUGACUGUAAUGCACUUGGGAACUAUAUUCUUUAUGUUUCUUUAGUUUUAUUGUGUUAAAGCCUUUGUGUCUAUGAGUUAAAGU